rnacentral:tRNA from 1 species
GCCUGAGUGGCUUAGUCGUUAAGCGUCUGCCUUCGGCUCAGGACAUGAUCCUGGUGUUCUUGGGAUCGAGCCCCACAUCAGGCU